rnacentral:lncRNA from 1 species
GCCCGCCUGCCUGUCUACCCUACGCGCCGUGGUUCCGGGCUUCAGCGGAACGAGAACGCAAUCUCCUCGAGCGUUCUCCCCUUGGUCUCCGGCACGCACAGGCACACGAAGAGGAGGGUGCCCAUGGACACUGCCGCGUAUAUAGCAAAGGUUCCUGGUUGAAACAAGACGUAUGGUUCGUGGUAAGACACAGUGUCAUAAAAGAGGUAGGAAGGUAGAGGGACAGAGAGGGAGGAAUAGACUGACCUCCGUUGCUCCAGUUUAGCAUCAAGCUCGCGGUCAUCGUGAUGAGCCACGAUGUCAUUCAGUUUUCAAGGGUGGCGGUGCUUCCGGCAAGACUCUUGAUGUUAACAGGAAGAAUAUGUAGGGACACAAUGUGGACGACGCAUUAUUAUAUUUCUAGAUAUGUUCAGUGUGAAGUUUGCUCUAGGUAAGUUGUCACUGUCACUUGCAACUACAGAUAUGAAACACAAAGCAACCACUGCAGUUUUUGGUGAUGGUACAGCUAAAGCUAAAAGCAGUAGUUGCAGUCUUUAGUGAUAGGUACAGCUACGGUCAGUGUAAUCUAGGCUACAUUACAAAAAAUGCAGUUUCCUGUAUGUCUUGAAGCAGCAGCUGGUCGACAAAACCACAAGAGCGACUGCAACUGCAGCGUUUCGCUCCAUUUCAUAGGUAAAAAGGCAUGUUCGAGGACGGCUCAUUGAUAAAAAAAAGAGGCUAUAGAGGAUAUUCAGACAGGAACAGAAGUGGCAAAUGAUAGUGGUAACAACUACAGAGAUAAAAUCAGAUAGAUGUAAGUGUAAUUAUUGAACUUCUAGAUAUUUGCAGUAAGGAGGAUCAGACUAUACCUCAGACAUUAUAAUCCAUGGGAUGGCUCCCAUGCCCAGAGAAAAUGCAAGCACAAAUGCC